ACCCCCGUGAGAAUGCCCUACAGUUCCCUGCCUGGGAACAAGGAGCCGGUAUCAGGCACACUCCCCUUAAGCCCAUGACACCUUGCUUAGCCACACCCUCAAGGGAACUCAGCAGUGAUAAACAUUAAGCCAUAAGUGAAAACUUGACUUAGUUAAAGUUAAGAGGGUCGGUAAAACUCGUGCCAGCCACCGCGGUUAUACGAGAGACCCAAGUUGUUAGACACCGGCGUAAAGAGUGGUUAGGUUUAAACUAUAAACUAAAGCCGAACAUCUUCAAAGCUGUUAUACGCACCCGAAGAUAAGAAGUUCAAUCACGAAAGUGGCUUUACCCCAACUGAACCCACGAAAGCUAGGAUACAAACUGGGAUUAGAUACCCCACUAUGCCUAGCCCUAAACAUUGAUAAUAUCCUACAAUUAUUAUCCGCCCGGGUACUACGAGCAUCAGCUUAAAACCCAAAGGACUUGGCGGUGCUUUAGAUCCACCUAGAGGAGCCUGUUCUAGAACCGAUAACCCCCGUUCAACCUCACCCUUCCUUGUUUUUCCC
rnacentral:rRNA from 1 species